AUUACAUCUUUAUUUCGUUCCAUUCAUCUAAAUCCAAAGCUUGAUUGAAAUCUAAAGACACAAAAAGAAGAUGGGCCAAUGAGAUCAGGUCUGUCACUUGCAUGCUACUCAAAGAAGACUCAGUAAUUUUAGAUGAGGCUAUGGAUCGAGACUGCAAAUAAUAAUGUUUUGUUGGAAAUAACUGUUGUCUUAACACUUGAAGUCCUUUCUCUUUAACAGAAUACAUGAAGAUAUGCAUUGGUGCUACACUGGCUGCAUUAGCAUUGUUGCUGGCAACUUUGAUAGUAACAUUGGCAAUAUAGAAACUUGUUAGGAACUUUGUAAUCGUAAAGAUUUAACAAUUAUCUGGUAUUGUAUAUCCAUUCCU